rnacentral:rRNA from 1 species
CCUACGGGAGGCAGCAGUGAGGAAUAUUGGUCAAUGGACGCAAGUCUGAACCAGCCAUGCCGCGUGCAGGAAGAAGGAUCUAUGGUUUGUAAACUUCUUUUAUAGGGGAAUAAAGGUAUCCACGUGUGGAUAUUUGCAUGUACCCUAUGAAUAAGCAUCGGCUAACUCCGUGCCAGCAGCCGCGGUAAUACGGAGGAUGCGAGCGUUAUCCGGAUUUAUUGGGUUUAAAGGGUGCGUAGGUUGUUUUUUAAGUCAGCGGUGAAAGUUUGUGGCUCAACCAUAAAAUUGCCGUUGAAACUGGAAGACUUGAGUGUGUUUGAGGUAGGCGGAAUGCGUGGUGUAGCGGUGAAAUGCAUAGAUAUCACGCAGAACUCCGAUUGCGAAGGCAGCUUACUAAGCCAUAACUGACACUGAAGCACGAAAGCGUGGGGAUCAAACAGGAUUAGAUACCCCAGUAGUC